GUGUCAGCCGCCGCGGUAAUACAGAGGGUGCGAGCGUUGUCCGGAAUCACUGGGCGUAAAGGGCGCGUAGGCGGCUUGGUAAGUAGGGGGUGAAAUCUCAUGGCUCAACUGUGAGGCUGCCUUCUAGACUGCUGAGCUGGAGCACAGUAGAGGCGAGUGGAAUUCCCGGUGUAGCGGUGGAAUGCGUAGAGAUCGGGAAGAACAUCGGUGGCGAAGGCGGCUCGCUGGGCUGUUGCUGACGCUGAGGCGCGAAAGCGUGGGGAGCAAACAGGAUUAGAAACCCGUGUAGUCC
rnacentral:rRNA from 1 species